GGCACGUCCGCCUGGGCGUCAAGCAUCGCGUCGCUCCGUGCCAGUUCCGUCCCGCCAAUGGGCGUGCCGGUCGUGGCGCGGAUGCGUAGAGUGGCUCGCCGUGCCCCCGUGCGCGGCGGGCUGAAGAGCGUGCUAUCGCCUCGUUGGCCACGGAUAACUGGGGUGGAUCGAAGCUGUGAGCUAGGCCCGCAUUGUCUUGUGCCGGCCCGAGAGGAGAUGGCACAUUCCCGGUGAUCCCGACCCAUGCGCCGGCCCACGGGCGGCGGCUCGGAAAGCGACCCCAGGAUGGGCGAGGCCACCCGCCGAGUUUAAGCAUAUCAAUAAGCGGAGGAGAAGAAACUUACGAGGAUUCCCCUAGUAACGGCGAGCGAACCGGGAUCGGCCCAGCAUGGGAAUCGGGCUGUCGCACGGCGGCUCGAAUUGUAGUCU
rnacentral:rRNA from 1 species